rnacentral:misc_RNA from 1 species
UUUUUUUCUUUUUUUUUUGGGUUGCUGGUAAUGAAAUGCUGGGUUAAGGGGUCCCCAAAAGAAAAUGUGAAUACUAGAGAAUAGACUACAGCAAUGAGAGUGAAAGAGAGAGAGAGAAAGAUAAGAGGGAUCUUUUAUUUCACAAUUUUUUUUUCCCUAAAAUUUGCCUUCUGUCCCUCUUUGCCUUUUGUCCCUCUCACGGGACUCCCGUGGUCGGCUGGGCUGGCAAUUGAGGUUUCACCUAACGGAUUCCUUGCCUAGACUCGUUUACCCAAAUUUCUCUCGCCUAGACUCGUUUACCCAAAUUU